rnacentral:rRNA from 1 species
CUCAUAGAGUAAUCUAGUAAGGAUCCAGGAAGACCACCUGGUUGAUAGGUCGCAGGUCGAAGCGCCCCGCAAGGCAAGCGCGUAGCCGAGCGAUACUAAUAAUCCGAGGGCUUAACCAA